UCAAGCUAAGAAGAGCGCAGGGCGAAUGCCUUGGCACUGGGAGCCGAAGAAGGACGCGAUAAGCUGCGAUAAGCUGCGGGGAGGAGCAAAUAUCCAUUGAUCCGCAGAUUUCCGAAUGGAGAAAUCCGUAUGGAGAAGUCCAUACAUCAUAUACUGAAUCCAUAGGUAUAUGAGGGAAACCGCCUGAACUGAAACAUCUAAGUAGGGCGAGGAAAAGAAAUCAACCGAGAUACCGCAAGUAGUGGCGAGCGAACGCGGCAGAGGCCAAACCCGUAGUAGAAAUACUAUGGGGGUUGCGGACUGCAUUUAGCAUUGUUGAUCUUUAACCGAAGGGCAUGGGAAGGCCCACCGAAGAACGUGAGAGUCGUGUAGGUGAAAAGGAGAGACAGCGAGCAGGAUCCAGAGUACCGCGGGACACGAGGAAUCCCGUGGGAAGCCGGGGGGACCACCCUCCAAGCCUAAAUACUACCCAGUGACCGAUAGCGUAUAGUACUGUGAAGGAAAGGUGAAAAGGACCCCGGGAGGGGAGUGAAAGAGAACCUGAAACCUUGUGCCUACAAGCACAUAGAGCCCGUCAAAGGGUGAUAUGGUACUUUUUGUAGAACGGUCCGGCGAGCGAUUGUACGUUGCGAGCUUAAGGUCUUAAGGACUGGAGGCGUAGCGAGAGCGAGUCUAAACAGGGCGUUUAGUAGCGUGCAAUGGGCCCGAAACCGGGUGACCUACCCAUGAUCAGGCUGAAGUGAAAGUAAAAUUUCAUGGAGGGCCGAACCGACCUCCGUUGAAAAGGCGGCGGAUGAAUUGUGGGUAGCGGAGAAAUUCCAAUCGAACUCGGAGAUAGCUGGUUCUCCCCGAAAUAGCUUUAGGGCUAGCCUCAUAUUAGAUACCCGGAGGUAAAGCACUGAAUGGCCUAGCGCCCGAGAGGGUAGCGAAGCCUAUCAAACUAAGAAUGCCGGAGUAUUGAUGUAUGGGAGUCAGACAGUGUGAGAUAAAUCUCAUUGUCAAAAGGGAAACAGCCCAGAUCUACAGCUAAGGUCCCAAAUUGUAUCUAAGUGGAAAACGAUGUGGAAAUACGCAGACAACCAGGAUGUUGGCUCAGAAGCAGCCACUCAUUUAAAGAGUGCGUAAUAGCUCACUGGUCGAGCGUCUCUGCGCGGAAAAUUUAACGGGGCUAAGAUACAAACCGAAGCUUAGGCUGCACGAAAGUGCGGGGUAGGGGAGCGUUGUGUAAGCGGAGAAACAGUAGCGUAAGCGGCUGUGGAGUUUACAGAAGUGAGAAUGCCGGAAUGAGUAGCGCGAAUGUGGUGAGAAUCCACAUGGCCGGAAACCUCAGGUUUUUGGAGGAAGGUUCGUCCGCUCCAAGUUAGGCGGGAGCUAAGGUGAGGCCGAAAGGCGUAGCCGAUGCACAGACGGUAGAGAUUCCGUCCCCACCGAAAGAUUUAAGCGCAGGGACACUUUUAGAAGGUCGGAGCCAGGUGUUGGUUCUGGUAGAGAUCGAGGGAAGAUUAGUACCGAAGUCCGGCUGGAUAAGAGGCGAGAAAAGCUGCGUGUAUAUCUAAGGUGCCCGUACCGCAAACCGACACAGGUAGGUAGGAAGAAGAUUCUAAGGCCAACGGGAGAAGGGUUGUUAAGGAACUCGGCAAAUUGACCCCGUAACUUCGGGAGAAGGGGUGCUCCAGAGAUGGAGCCGCAGAGAAUCGGCCCAAGCAACUGUUUACCAAAAACACAGGUUUGUGCUAAAUCGAAAGAUGACGUAUACGAGCUGACGCCUGCCCGGUGCUGGAAGGUUAAGAGGAGAUGUGCAAGCAUUGAAUCGAAGCCCCAGUGAACGGCGGCCGUAACUAUAACGGUCCUAAGGUAGCGAAAUUCCUUGUCAGGUAAGUUCUGACCCG
rnacentral:rRNA from 1 species